rnacentral:rRNA from 1 species
AACGAACGCUGGCGGCAGGCCUAACACAUGCAAGUCGAGCGAAGCCUUCGGGCUUAGCGGCGGACGGGCGAGUAACGCGUGGGAACGUGCCCUUUGGUACGGAAUAGCCCCGGGAAACUGGGAGUAAUACCGUAUGUGGUCGAGAGACGAAAGAUUUAUCGCCAAAGGAUCGGCCCGCGUUGGAUUAGGUAGUUGGUGGGGUAAUGGCCUACCAAGCCGACGAUCCAUAGCUGGUUUGAGAGGAUGAUCAGCCACACUGGGACUGAGACACGGCCCAGACUCCUACGGGAGGCAGCAGUGGGGAAUCUUAGACAAUGGGGGAAACCCUGAUCUAGCCAUGCCGCGUGAUCGAUGAAGGCCUUAGGGUUGUAAAGAUCUUUCAGUGGGGAAGAUAAUAACUGUACCCACAGAAGAAGCCCCGGCUAACUCCGUGCCAGCCGCCGCUGUAACAC